rnacentral:rRNA from 1 species
UACAUGUGGGGCAAGCGUUGUUCGGAAUUACUGGGCAUAAAGGGUGCGUAGGUGGUUUGUUAAGUCAGGGGUGAAAUCCUGGAGCUCAACUCCAGAACUGCCUUUGAUACUGGCGAUCUUGAGUCCGGGAGAGGUGAGUGGAACUGCGAGUGUAGAGGUGAAAUUCGUAGAUAUUCGCAAGAACACCAGUGGCGAAGGCGGCUCACUGGCCCGGUACUGACGCUGAGGUGCGAAAGCGUGGGGAGCAAACAGG